UGAGGAAUAUUUGACAAUGGGCGCAAGCCUGAACCAGCCAUGCCGCGUGCAGGAUGAAGCAUCUAUGGUGUGUAAACUGCUUCUGUACGGGAAGAAACCACCCCUCGUGAGGGGUAUUUACGGUACCGUAAGAAUAAGGAUCGGCUAACUCCGUGCCAGCAGCCGCGGGAAUACGGAGGAUCCAAGCGUUAUCCGGAAUCAUUGGGUCUAAAGGGUCCGUAGGCGUGUCUGUAAGUCAGUGGUGAAAUCUCCCCGCUCAACGGUGAAACUGCCAUUGAUACUGCAGGUAUUGAAUUAUAGAGAAGUAACUAGAAUAUGUAGUGUAGCAGUGAAAUGCAGAGAGAUUACAGGGAAUACCGAUUGAGAAGGCAGGUAACUACAAAUGGAAUGACGAUGAUGGAGGAAAGAGUGGGUAGCGAAAA
rnacentral:rRNA from 1 species